UACGGAGGAUGCAAGCGUUAUCCGAAUGAUUGGGCGUAAAGCGUCCGCAGGUGGCUAUGUAAGUCUGCUGUUAAAGAGUCUAGCUCAACUAGAUAAGAGCAGUGGAAACUACAAGGCUAGAGUACGUUCGGGGCAGAGGGAAUUCCUGGUGUAGCGGUGAAAUGCGUAGAGAUCAGGAAGAACGCCAGUGGCGAAGGCGCUCUGCUAGGCCGUAACUGACACUGAGGGACGAAAGCUAGGGGAGCGAAUGGG
rnacentral:rRNA from 1 species